GGGGCCUCUGGUCGGGGCUGGGAGCGAAGGCCGGGGAGCGGCGGGAACGGGCGGCGGGGCCUGGGCCUGCCUUGAGGGGGACUCGGAGCCCGGCGGGUGGGAGGUGGCCCCGGGCGCAGCCUGCCAGCAGCCCUGUGGUGUCUCGCUGAAGCAAGAGGCCCACAGUCCCAUCUCGCUGCUGUGCGGCCACUCAACAGCGAUGCUCUCUGUCAUAAGGCAGAACUUCCAACUGAAAAGCUGUUUGUUUUUCUUACUUGUCUGUGUUAAACACUCCUCUGAUGAGCGAUUUUUAAUAUUUGCUAAAUAUGCUUUAAUUACUGCUCGGAACUGUCUCUGUGAUCUUUUAACUAUGUCAUAAAAGGAGUUUAUAUAGCAAUUAAAAACAGGUUUUACCCCAGA